GAAGCUGUCCCUGAAGUGACAGUGGAGAGAACCGGGCAGCCCAGAACCCCCAGGCAUGGAGAUUGAUCCUGCAAGAGAAGGGAGUUCAUCAUGGCGGAUGACCUAAAGCGAUUCAUGUAUAAAAUUGUUGUGUCAGAGUUGGAGUACCUAUUUUAAAGUGGCCAAUGAUAAUGCUCCAGAGCGUGCUUUGAGACCUGGUUUUUCAUCUACUUUUGCCCUUGCAACAGACCAAAGGAGCAAACUUGGACUUUCAAAAAAUAAAAGUAUCAUCUGUUACUGUUACACCUACCAGGUGAUUCAAUUAAAUCAUUACCUUUGGUAGUGAGUUUCAUAGCCAGCAGCAAUGCCAAUACAGGACUAAUUGUCAGCCUAGAAAAGAAACUUACUCCAUUCUUUGAAGAAUUGAGACAAGUUGUGGAAGUUUCUUAAUCGGACAGUGGUUUCAAUGUGUACCUUAUCUUUAUUAUAACAACACAAUAUCGAUCCAGCAAUCU